rnacentral:tRNA from 1 species
AUUUUCAUAGUUUAAGUAGAAUAGAGGUUUGUGGUGCCUCAGGUGUGUUAUCACUGGAGAUC